rfam:Stegodyphus mimosarum contig69081, whole genome shotgun sequence.
GCCUUCGUGGCGUAAUGGUCAGCACACUGAGCCGGUAUAUCAGAGGCCCGUGGUUCGAUCCCCGGCGAAGGCA